AUAAUUUUCGACCAAAACAACAGAGUAAUCGAUAUAUAAUGAAAUCAAUUUAUAAGCAAAAAUUUAUAACUAAAUUAUUCAGAUUUAUUAUUAUUUAAUGAAUAUUAUAUCAAAUACCGAAAUGUAAUUAUCAAAAUUUUAAAAAAGAUGGUCAUCAUAAAUCAUUUUGGAGUGCGAAACAACGAUGAUGAUAUCGAUAAUAAUCAAGAUGGUCAUCCAAUUCAACAAUCAAUGGCUACAAAAAUGGCCAUCAUGAAUCGUCAUCAUCCUGCUACACUGAUUGAUUCACCAAAUAUGAUGAUAAUGUCACCACAAUUACAGCAUCAUAAUUUUCAACACCAUCAACAACAACAACGGAAUAUUGUACAUGUGCUGUAAUCAAACAUCCAUGAAUGCAAAUAUUCCACCAUCAUCAUAUCAUCAAGCAGCAGCAACAGCUGCAUCGCCACAACAAAUACCAAUUUCAAUACCAAAUUCACAAUCAUUUGAUGCUGCUACUAAUGAAAUUCGUGAUGAUUCGCAUACAUUUAAUUUAUACAUGUAAUAGCAUUAUGUGGACAUAACAUGGUUAUAAUCGUAUCGAAUAUUAUGUUCGCAGCUAUGAUUGAGGAAUGGACACUAUUGAAAUAUUAUAAAGCUUUAUUGAUCAAGUAUAGUUUAUUUUUAUAAUCUGAAUAUAUGUUUUUCAAUAAAAAUAAAAAAUGAAUAACAACAAAAAUUUUGAAACAGUAUUGAAAUAUAAUACAAACACAGGAUGUCAAAGAAAACGUUGAUCGUGCGAUUUUGAAAUUGAUUUUUGUAUGGGGUAAACUGGACAUAAACAUCUUCAUGAAAUAGAAAAUAAUAAACCGAAUUCGGAAAGUUGAUGUCAGGUUAAACUCAAAUGAAAUUCUUAACGAUAAUUUAAUAAUCCAAUUUACCAAUUUGUGAUAAAGGUCAAUUAUUACGUUCCAUUGAAAUUACAUUAUAAUUUUUUUUCAUCAAUUAUGCUGCUGAUAUGAUAAUAUCUAUCAAAUCAUGAGUUGAUUUUUUAUUCAUUUUUCAUGCUAAGUCUACGGCAAAAACAAUGAAUUCAUUUUGCCGCCAAAAAUUUCCAUGUCCAACUAAUGGGCAACUGCGCAUAGUCAUAUAGAUGUAGUGCGCUAACUAUUUUUAAUGCAAAUACUGCGCGCUUCUAUUCCCCAUACAAAUUUGAAUUUGAUCGUUGGAAAAAUCGAACAUUAAAAUUCAACGGUCGUCGAAGACGGUUGUCCUCACUCAACUUUGCGCUAUUUUUCGUGAUCAUGUCGUGAUAUUUUUUUCAUUUUUUUUCUAUUUUAAUCGUAGAUUUUUGCACUAAAUUUUGGAACAAAGAAUUUAAUCGAUUCAAGAUUAUCGUUGUUCAAACUUAUUGUGGUCUAAGAUCAAAAAUUGGCCCCGAAAUCGAUGAAGAUCGUUUGGUUCGGUCAUCAUGUAAUCAUGAUACAAGUUGGCGAAAAAAUCCCAUUUUCGAUGACUUUCAAAUUUUUCUUUUUCAGAGUCCAUUAUACUUGAUGUAUAAUAAUUGGAAUUCGGAUUAAUAUAUGAAAACAUGGUCAAUGAGCAUGAAAUUUUCAUUGAUGAUCAAUGAUCAUUAGACAUAUAAUUGGUGCCGUCUUUAGAAAAACGAUCAUGGUAAUGAUGCCGAACAUUACAAAUUUAUUGGUGGAUAUCUGGUCACUAACAUGGUACAAUGUCCAAUGAAACAUCAUGUUCAUCAUCAGGCCUGCAUUGGAUUGAAUUUUCGGAACAACUUAUUCGGUUCGUUCCUGAAAUUUUACAAUCAUCAAAUUGAAAUUCGAUUGAUGAUUAUGUUCGAGAUCAAUUCGGCGGUUCCAUUUUUCAUCAGCAUCCAAUUCAAGAAUAGUUUGACCAUGUUCAACACAUGAUAUCAGGUUAGGCUAGGGUUAGAUUAGGCUUAGGAACACGGUCUGAGCUAUUUCCUAUUGAAUUGGAUGCUGAUUGAAUCUUUGGAAUCAAUGAAGCGAUCGAAAACAUGAUUAUAAGUUGAAGAUUCAUGGGAUGGAACACAUACUUGAAAAUGAUCAUGGAUUGCCGGCGAACAAUUGGGAAAUUGAAUCUCGAACCACGGAUAGAAUUUGGACAUUGUCUUGGAACAUGGACCGCGAACAUUGGAUCUAUUUCAAACGGGACAAUUAACGUUGUAUGGCGCAAUUGGGAUGUGGAAUAUGGAUGUAUUUUAUUAUUUAUUUAUAAUAUUUUUAUAAAUUAAUAUAUCAAUAAAAUCAAUUAAAUUUCAA